UGUACCCCGCAAGGGGGAAAGCGGCGUAAGGGAGAGUAAUACGUAGAUACGUGCCUUCAGGUCUGGGAUAGCCACGGGAAACUGUGGGUAAUACCGGAUAAUGUCUAAGGACCAAAGAUGUGAUUUCACCUGAAGAUCGGUCUGCGUCCUAUCAGCUUGUUGGUGGGGUAACGGCUCACCAAGGCUACGACGGGUACGGGGUGUGAGAGCAUGCCCCCGCUCACUGGGACUGAGACACUGCCCAGACACCUACGGGUGGCUGCAGUCGAGGAUCUUCGGCAAUGGGCGCAAGCCUGACCGAGCGACGCCGCGUGGGGGAUGAAGGCCUUCGGGUUGUAAACUCCUGUCAGUGGGGAGGAAGGCCCUGUGAAGAGUAGGGUUUGACCUAUCCGCAGAGGAAGUGUGGGCUAAGUUCGUGCCAGCAGCCGCGGUAAGACGAACCACACGAACGUUAUUCGGAAUUACUGGGCUUAAAGGGUGCGUAGGCUGUGCGGAAAGUUGGGUGUGAAAUCCCCCGGCUCAACCGGGGAAUUGCGCCCAAAACUACCGUGCUGGAGGAAGACAGAGGUGAGCGGAACUUCGGGUGGAGCGGUGAAAUGCGUUGAUAUCCGAAGGAACACCGGUGGCGAAAGCGGCUCACUGGGUCUUUUCUGACGCUGAUGCACGAAAGCUAGGGGAGCAAACGGGAUUAGAUACCCCGGUAGUCCUAGCCGUAAACGAUGAGCACUGGGUUGAAGGGCCCUCCAUAGCCUUUCA
rnacentral:rRNA from 1 species